rnacentral:rRNA from 1 species
GACGAACGCUGGCGGUGUGCUUAACACAUGCAAGUCGAACGGAAAGGCCCUGCUUUUGUGGGGUGCUCGAGUGGCGAACGGGUGAGUAACACGUGAGUAACCUGCCCUUGACUUUGGGAUAACUUCAGGAAACUGGGGCUAAUACCGGAUAGGAGCUCCUGCUGCAUGGUGGGGGUUGGAAAGUUUCGGCGGUUGGGGAUGGACUCGCGGCUUAUCAGCUUGUUGGUGGGGUAGUGGCUUACCAAGGCUUUGACGGGUAGCCGGACUGAGAGGGUGAACGGGCACAUUGGGACUGAGGUACGGCCCAGACUCCUACGGGAGGCAGCAGUGGGGAAUAUUGCACAAUGGGCGGAAGCCUGAUGCAGCAACGCCGCGUGCGGGAUGACGGCCUUCGGGUUGUAAACCGCUUUCGCCUGUGACGAAGCGUGAGUGACGGUAAUGGGUAAAGAAGCACCGGCUAACUACGUG